CAGUGUUACAAGUUUUUUUUAGAAUUUAUCUAGCAGGUUUUCCAGUUUUUAUCAGAAAGCUCUU